rnacentral:rRNA from 1 species
CAGCAGCCACGGGAAUACGAAGGGUGCAAGCGUUACUCGGAAUUACUGGGCGUAAAGCGUGCGUAGGUGGUGGUUUAAGUCCGUUGUGAAAGCCCUGGGCUCAACCUGGGAAUUGCAGUGGAUACUGGGUCACUAGAGCGUGGUAGAGGAUAGUGGAAUUUCCGGUGUAGCAGUGAAAUGCGUAGAGAUCGGAAGGAACAUCUGUGGCGAAGGCGACUAUCUGGGCCAACACUGACACUGAGGCACGAAAGCGUGGGGAGCAAACAGGAUUAGAUACCCCUGUAGUCCCUGUCUCUUAUAC